UCAAAAGAUUCAUUUACCCCUAAUCCUCUCC
rnacentral:piRNA from 1 species